rnacentral:rRNA from 1 species
GACGGGGGGGGCUAGCGUUGUUCGGAAUUACUGGGCGUAAAGCGCACGUAGGCGGACAUUUAAGUCAGGGGUGAAAUCCCAGAGCUCAACUCUGGAACUGCCUUUGAUACUGGGUGUCUGGAGUAUGGAAGAGGUGAGUGGAAUUCCGAGUGUAGAGGUGAAAUUCGUAGAUAUUCGGAGGAACACCAGUGGCGAAGGCGGCUCACUGGUCCAUUACUGACGCUGAGGUGCGAAAGCGUGGGGAGCAAACAGG